UACGGGGGGGGCAAGCGUUGUUCGGAAUUACUGGGCGUAAAGGGCGCGUAGGCGGCCUUCUAAGUCGGACGUGAAAUCCCUCGGCUUAACCGAGGAACUGCGUCCGAGACUGAAAGGCUUGAAUCCGGGAGAGGGAUGUGGAAUUCCAGGUGUAGCGGUGAAAUGCGUAGAUAUCUGGAGGAACACCGGUGGCGAAGGCGGCAUCCUGGACCGGCAUUGACGCUGAGGAGCGAAAGCCAGGGGAGCAAACGGG
rnacentral:rRNA from 1 species